rnacentral:ncRNA from 1 species
CAGCUUGGCUAGGGGUCCACAUUUCUGAAAUGCUGGUGAGAAAGUCCCUUAAUACCUGAUGCGGAUAAUGCUGCCGGAGGGAAGCCUGGAAAAAAUUUC